UACGGGGGGGGCAAGCGUUGUUCGGAAUUACUGGGCGUAAAGGGCUCGUAGGCGGCCAACUAAGUCAUACGUGAAAUCCCUCGGCUUAACCGGGGAACUGCGUCUGAUACUGGAUGGCUUGAGUUCGGGAGAGGGAUGCGGAAUUCCAGGUGUAGCGGUGAAAUGCGUAGAUAUCUGGAGGAACACCGGUGGCGAAGGCGGCAUCCUGGACCGGCAUUGACGCUGAACAGCGAAAGCCAGGGGAGCAAACAGGG
rnacentral:rRNA from 1 species